rnacentral:snoRNA from 1 species
UUAUUAGAUAUGUAAGAGUCAAAAACAUCUGGGGGCCUGGUGAGUAAUAGCUGCAAAUAGCAGCCUCUUUAGUAGAAUACACAGCCUGUUUCUUGUAUAGGUUGCUCUAAGGGAUCUUGAAGACAGCC